GGGCCGGGUUCGGCCCUCGUGAACUCUCACCCGAGCGGUUUCUCUUUCCGGGACAACAUGGCGCCGUCCACGCCGCUCUUGACAGUCCGAGGAUCAGAAGGACUGUACAUGGUGAAUGGACCACCACAUUUUACAGAAAGCACAGUGUUUCCAAGGGAAUCUGGGAAGAAUUGCAAAGUCUGUACCUUUAGUAGGGAUGGGACCUUGUUUGCCUGGGGCAAUGGAGAAAAAGUAAAUAUUAUCAGUGUCACUAACAAGGGACUACUGCACUCCUUCGACCUCCCAAAGGCAGUUUGCCUUGAAUUCUCGCCCAAAAAUACUGUCCUGGCAACGUGGCAGCCUUAUACUACUUCUAAAGAUGGCACAGCUGGGAUACCCAACCUACAACUUUAUGAUGUGAAAACUGGGACAUGUUUGAAAUCUUUCAUCCAGAAAAAAACGCAAAAUUGACACAAUUGCAAAUAAAUUGCAUUUGCAAAAAAUUAAUGAUUUUGUAUUAUCACCUGGACCCCAACCAUACAAGGUGGCUGUCUAUGUUCCAGGAAGUAAAGGUGCACCUUCAUUUGUUAGAUUAUAUCAGUACCCCAACUUUGCUGGACCUCAUGCAGCUUUAGCUAAUAAAAGUUUCUUUAAGGCAGAUAAAGUUACAAUGCUGUGGAAUAAAAAAGCUACUGCUGUGUUGGUAAUAGCUAGCACAGAUGUUGACAAGACAGGAGCUUCCUACUAUGGAGAGCAAACUCUGCACUAUACUGCAACAAAUGGAGAAAGUGCUGUAGUGCAAUUACCAAAAAAUGGCCCCAUUUAUGAUGUAGUUUGGAAUUCUAGUUCUACUGAAUUUUGUGCUGUAUAUGGUUUUAUGCCUGCCAAAGCAACAAUUUUCAACUUGAAAUGUGAUCCUGUAUUUGACUUUGGAACUGGUCCUCGUAAUGCAGCCUACUAUAGCCCUCAUGGACAUAUAUUAGUAUUAGCUGGAUUUGGAAAUCUGAGAGGACAAAUGGAAGUGUGGGAUGUGAAAAACUACAAACUUAUUUCUAAACCAGUGGCUUCUGAUUCUACAUAUUUUGCUUGGUGCCCGGAUGGUGAGCAUAUUUUAACAGCUACAUGUGCUCCCAGGUUACGGGUUAAUAAUGGAUACAAAAUUUGGCAUUAUACUGGCUCUAUCUUGCACAAGUAUGAUGUGCCAUCAAAUGCAGAAUUAUGGCAGGUUUCUUGGCAGCCAUUUUUGGAUGGAAUAUUUCCAGCAAAAACAAUAACUUACCAAGCAGUUCCAAGUGAAGUACCCAAUGAGGAACCUAAAGUUGCAACAGCUUAUAGACCCCCAGCUUUAAGAAAUAAACCAAUCACCAAUUCCAAAUUGCAUGAAGAGGAACCACCUCAGAAUAUGAAAUCACAAUCAGGAAAUGAUAAGCCAUUAUCAAAAACAGCUCUUAAAAAUCAAAGGAAGCAUGAAGCUAAGAAAGCCGCAAAGCAGGAAGCAAGAAGUGACAAGAGUCCAGAUUUGGCACCUACUCCUGCCCCACAGAGCACACCACGAAACACUAUCUCUCAGUCAAUUUCUGGGGACCCUGAGAUAGACAAAAAAAUCAAGAACCUAAAGAAGAAACUAAAAGCAAUUGAACAACUGAAAGAACAAGCAGCAACUGGAAAACAGCUAGAAAAAAAUCAGUUGGAGAAAAUUCAGAAAGAAACAGCCCUUCUCCAGGAGCUGAAAGAUUUGGAAUUGGGUAUUUAAAGAUUCACAGAAAGCAAGUUGAUGACCAGAAAUCAGUGCAAACACAUCUUCUGUUAAACCCAUUGGUAUACACAGAAUAUUCCUGUUCCCACACUUAAUGUCAAUCUAUAAUUUUAACCAUUUAUCCAAGAUUCUACAUAAGUAAAAUUAUUUAAUAAUGUCUAUUGAAUUAAUAUUUAUAUCUUGCAUCCUAUAUCAUGUCAAUAUGUGAUAUAGAAAAGAGAUACAUGAAUUUUUUAGCUAAGCGUGACAGAUUGAAAGACAAGUGUCAUUUUUUUUUUGUGGAGAGUGAUAUAUACCAUAUAAAUGAAUAAAGACAUUUUAAAUUUAAAAAAAAA